AUGUAUAUAUGUAUGUGAUAGGAUAUAGGGUGAUAGGUAGUGCCGUCAAAAUGGGUUGAAACCCGUGAGCCAACCCGGUUCACCACAUGUUUGAGUCGGGUUGGGUUGAAAAAAAAUGUGAAAAUUUUGAUGCAAGCCAAUUUUGUCCCGACUCGCUAAGAACCCGACUCACCUGGGUUGAACCCGUGGUGAGCCGGGUUGAACCCGUGGUGAGUCGGGUUAGCUCACCAAUCCACCUAUUUUUUUCUAUUGAAAUCAAAUUAAUUAAAUUAAUUAUUCAAAUCCUUUUUUUAUUGAAAUCAAAUUAAUUAAAUUAAUUAUUCAAAACGCACAACCUUUACUUUGCAGUAGAGCUUUUCGUGUUGCGUUGUGUUGUUGUCUAUCCAAAAGUUCCCCUCUACUAUAUAUUUUUGUUAUCGGCUAUAUGUAGUUUCUUGGUCAAACAAUUGUCUAUAUCUCAUUAAACUAUACUGGCAAAAUUUUAUGCUUCAUAGCUUAGAAUAUAUAACAAUAGAGUUCUUUUGUUUCAUUUUCUUUUAUAUCAAUUGGUCCAAUUAUUACUGUUUCAAUUUGAUCGAUCAAAAUAACAUGUUAUAAGAAUCUCAGAAGAAGUGGGUGAAAAAAAAUUAAGUGAACCAAUGAGCUAACCCGUUUAACCCACAAAUCCGUGGUGGGUCGAAUCGGGUUCAAAUUUUUUUGGCUUGCUAAUAAAUGAGCCGGGUUGGGUUGGCUCACUAAGUGGUCAACCCGUGGUGGGUUGGGUUGGGUCAGGCCGGGUUACCCGUUUUGACAACUCUAGUAAAAGCGCAUAAUGGGGUAUCUAUAUGUAGUUUCUUGGUCAAACGGUUGUGUAUGUCUCAUUAAACUAUACUGGCAAAAUUUUAUGCUUCAUAGCUUAGAAUAUAUAACAAUAGAGUUCUUUUGUUUCAUUUUCUUUUAUAUCAAUUGGACCAAUUAUUACUGUUUCAAUUUGAUCAAUCAAAAUAACAUGCUAUAAGAAUCUCAGAAAAAGUGGGUGAAAAAAAGUUAAGUGAGCCAAUGAGCCAACCCGUUUAACCCACCGACCCGUGCUGGGUCGAGUUGGGUUAAAAUUUUUUUGGCUUGCUAAUAAAUGAGUCGGGUUAGGUUGGCUCACUAAGUGGUCAACCCGUGGUGGGUUGGGUUGGGUCAAGCUGGGCUAUCCGUUUUGAUAGCUCUAGUGAAAGGACAUAAUGGGGUAAUGGGUUUAGGAUAGAAGGCAGAGGAAUUGUAUAAAUAGGACUCUGUUAUGUUGUAGGGGGACAACUUUUGAGUAUUCUUUUGUAUAGACAGGUCUCCGUUAGCAUAUAUUUUCUCUUAGUCUUUACGGGGACCGAGAAUUGAUUAUAUUUGUAACAAGCUUGGUACAUACGAUUUGUAUGCACCAGCUUGAGGGGAUGUGUUAGAUAUAUAAUCUUUAUUUUAUAUUUAUCUUUUAGUUAGCUUGUUAUUAUUUCUUAUUUGUAUUUUGGGUUUAACUCAUAUUUCUUCUAUUAUAAAUAAAGAACCCUAUGUGUGUAUUUAACACAAACGAGAUUAAUCCCAAAUAUAGUUUUUCACUAUAUUCAACAAUCAUCAAAGGACCAAUUUAAUCAAUAAAUGAGCAAUGUGAAGUUUCUUAUCUCAUUAGAGGUUCUAAGCGUUUGUCAAAAUUAAAACAUGAAGAGACUAAAUAACUUCCACAGAAAUUAAAAAUAAGCAUAGACAAUCCCCUAUAAUACAUUUAAGAACCAAAAAUGGUCCAUCCUUUUCUUCAAUGCUCUAUCAAUCAAGCAUGCAUUGAUUUAUGCUUUUUUCCAUCAAUAUUCCUUACAAAUUAAAUACAAAGAGUUCAGGGUAAUAAAAGAAAGAAGAUAACAUGAUUAUGCAUCUAUCUCUUCAUCACAAAAUGAAACUCUUUUAGAAGGACCAGCAAAUGAGAAACUAGAGAAGACUAAC
rnacentral:lncRNA from 1 species